ACACUAAAAGUUAAAUUUAGCAUAAUCUUAAAGUAUGAAAGUAUACACUAGCUAUGAGGAAAACAUGGGGUGGAAUGUUAAGAAGAGAUUUUCUAUUUAUACAAUACAAUACAUAGCAAAGAAAGAAACAUAUUUAUAGCUUAGUUCUAAUCAAGAAAGAGGUGAAGAGAGCAAAGAAAGCACCAAAACCAAUGAUGGUUGAAUAUCCAACUCCUUGGUUAGAAGAGGUUUUCCUUCAAAGAAACAUGUUUGUCUCACACAUCCACCUCCAUUUCCAGACACAUGAUAAUAUGUGCUAUAAAAUUCAAAGGGAUCAUAUGGUAGGGGUUGGAAAAGAUGUAGGUUCAAGAACUUGGUUUGGGAAUAUCCCUUACUCUGAUUUGUACCAGAAUUCUGUUGCUUAGUUGCUUUGAAUGGAAAGCUUUUUCUCGUCAAAAAAAUAAAUAAAUACAUAAGCCAAGCAUCGAAGGAUGGCCCAUGCUACAUGUAUGUUUGUGUGUUUGAAAUAUUUACCAUAAAAACCUACAAAUUUAUGAUAUUUAUCGCACAAAACAUAAUGUAACAAUCAAUUCUUUACA